GACUAACACGGCUGUUACUCUGAAACCUUUCAAAGCUAAUUAGGCUGGCAGCUGUUUCCCCUUUGCCAAUCAGGUGCAGAUUUCUCUAGCCAGCUCCAAUUUACCUCCCUUAAUUGGAGCAGGGGUGACAGAGGGCUGGCUCAGGAGUUCCUGCACAACACCCUGUCACA